rnacentral:rRNA from 1 species
CCCUUAGAUGUUCUGGGCAGCACGCGCGCUACAAUGGUCUUCGCAAACGGAUGCAUUCUCGAAGGAGAAUGCCAAUCUUGGAAUCUAUGCCUUGGUCGGGACAGUUGCUUGCAAUUUUUCGACUCGAACCAGGAAUUCCUUGUAAUCGUGAUUCAUCACAUCACGAUGAAUACGUCCCUGCCCUUUGUACACACCGCCCGUCGCUGCCCGGAACUGAGCCGUUUCGAGAAGACUGAGGAUUGCUGACUUGAGGCCUUCACGGGCUUCUAGUCGGUGAAAAUCAAUUUAAUCGCAGCGGCUUGAACCGGGCAAAAGUCGUAACA